CACCGAUUGACCCUCCGCCAAUGGAAAGGCCUGCCCACGAGGAUCGGCGGAGUACAUUUGCAAAGCGAAAGUUCAUUGCGAUCACUGUUUUGCAGGAAGCCCUGCUAUGAGCAGCCCUAUGGAGAGGCCCACGUGCUGAGGAACUGAGCUACUUGCCAACAGCCAUGUAGCCACUCUACAGUGGCCGGUGAGAUUUCCUCCAAGCCUACUCUUCUGAGCAGCAUUGUCUUAGUAAAUGGCACCAAAAGUCACCCAGGGAGGCAUUGCCUGGUGGGCCAUCAAUCCCGCAAGUAAUAUGAAGCCUCUAAAUAUUCAUAACCAUGAACAGACACCAAUCUUAGAGGAAAGAUGAAGUAAGAAGAGUCAAAAAAGGACUCUGCAGAGAGCUGCUCAAGUUCUGAGAAGCAAACCAAGGGCCAGUGGCAUCCUGAGCCCGGGGAGGGGAGCAUUUAAAGCAGCGGGAGAUUCGACGGCAUCGGCGGAGAGCUAGUCCCUCAGGGUUCUCAGUUGCACAUAACAGGAACAGACUGGCUGAUGGAAGCCCAGGGAAAACCAGCUAGAGGGUAUCCCACAGGCGUACCUCGGGCCUCACACUCAGUGGGUAGUGGGUGUAUCUGAUUGGUAGAGCCUGGGUUAGGUGCCCAUGCCAUAGCUACAAGGGAAGCUGGGAAAGCCCAGACAUUUUCCACUCCUCUUUUGGGAGGGAAGCUCCCCAUCAGGUGAGAGAAUUGCAUGUGCAAAGGUCCUGGAGCUGGAAGGGACAUGGAGAGUACUGGGCUGAAAGGUCGGUGUGACUGCAGGGUUGGGGAUGCCACGCACCAAUGCUGCGGAGGCCAGACAGUGCAGACCUCAUGGA
rnacentral:lncRNA from 1 species